rnacentral:rRNA from 1 species
UACGUAGGGUCCGAGCGUUGUCCGGAAUUACUGGGCGUAAAGAGCUCGUAGGUGGUUUGUCGCGUUGUUCGUGAAAACUCACAGCUCAACUGUGGGCGUGCGGGCGAUACGGGCAGACUUGAGUACUGCAGGGGGAGACUGGAAUUCCUGGUGUAGCGGUGGAAUGCGCAGAUAUCAGGAGGAACACCGAUGGCGAAGGCAGGUCUCUGGGCCGAUACUGACGCUGAGGAGCGAAAGCGUGGGGAGCGAACAGG